AUGAAAAGACUUAGCAGGCAAAAUGGAAAUUUUAUUUUAGCAAACUAUAAAAGAUCUCCAAUAUAGCUAACUUAAAAAAAAUAGUUUAUUGCAUUUAACUGUAAAGUUUCGAUAGCUGUCUCAGACUUUGUUUCUAGUGCUCAGUUACACAUUUUGUGAUUCAAAUUAGCUUUUAUUUAAGUUUCUUUUUCUCCUUUAAAAAUAGGAGCAAGUAAUACUGCGGACACGUUAUUUCAAGAAGUGUUAGGUCGAAAGGACAAGGCAGAUUCUACUAGGAAUGCACUCAAUGUACUUCAGCGAUUUAAGUUUCUCUUCAAUCUUCCUCUGAAUAUUGAAAGGAAUAUUCAAAAGGUAGAGAAAAUAUUUGUGUACUAACAGUUAUAAAUGUCAUAAGUUUUAAAGGUUUGUUAAUACAUUUUUAAUAUUAACCAAAUGUCUUCAUUAUGCUUUAUUGAUGGUCUCCAAAAUGUUUCUUUAUUUUAAAGGGUGACUAUGAUGUGGUUAUUAAUGAUUAUGAAAAGGCCAAGUCACUCUUUGGGAAAACGGAGGUGCAAGUUUUCAAGAAAUGUAAGAUUUGUUUAUUAC
rnacentral:lncRNA from 1 species